UGGGGAAUUUUGGACAAUGGGGGAAACCCUGAUCCAGCCAUCCCGCGUGUGCGAUGAAGGCCUUCGGGUUGUAAAGCACUUUUGGCAGGAAAGAAACGUCAUGGGUUAAUACCCCGUGAAACUGACGGUACCUGCAGAAUAAGCACCGGCUAACUACGUGCCAGCAGCCGCGGUAAUACGUAGGGUGCAAGCGUUAAUCGGAAUUACUGGGCGUAAAGCGUGCGCAGGCGGUUCGGAAAGAAAGAUGUGAAAUCCCAGAGCUCAACAUUGGAACUGCAUUUUUAACUACCGGGCUAGAGUGUGUCAGAGGGAGGUGGAAUUCCGCGUGUAGCAGUGAAAUGCGUAGAUAUGCGGAGGAACACCGAUGGCGAAGGCAGCCUCCUGGGAUAACACUGACGCUCAUGCACGAAAGCGUGGGGAGCAAACAGG
rnacentral:rRNA from 1 species